rnacentral:tRNA from 1 species
GCUCCGGUGGUGGAAUUGGCAUACACAAGAGACUUAAAAUCUCUCGCUGAAAAGCAUAAGGGUUCGAGUCCCUUUCGGAGCACGA